rnacentral:rRNA from 1 species
AUUGAACGCUGGCGGCAGGCCUAACACAUGCAAGUCGAACGAGUGGCGGACGGGUGAGUAAUGUCUGGGAAACUGCCUGAUGGAGGGGGAUAACUACUGGAAACGGUAGCUAAUACCGCAUACCAUCAGAUGUGCCCAGAUGGGAUUAGCUAGUUGGUGGGGUAACGUGUCACAAAGGCGACGAUCCCUAGCUGGUCUGAGAGGAUGACCAGCCACAUGGGAACGUAGACACGGUCCAGACUCCUACGGGAGGCAGCAGUGGGGAAUAGUGCACAAUGGGCGCAAGCCUGAUGCAGCCAUGCCGCGUGUAUGAUGAAGGCCGUCGGGUUGUAAAGUACGUUCAGCGGGGAGGCGUUACCCGCAGAAGAAGCACCGGCUAACUCCGUGCCAGCAGCCGCGGUAAUUC